rnacentral:lncRNA from 8 species
AUGACCUUGUGGCCCUUAGGUUAUGUCACUGGAAGUGAGGUCCCUGAGAAAAAAAAUGGUGGGUCGGGCACACCUCCUGGGAAAGGUGAUUGGGGCGUAGACCCUGAACCUCAGGUGCCUAAAAGUACUGGACCCAUGGUUACAAAGGUUGUGCCUGCGUUGGUACCUGAAACGAUGGCAGCUAAAAACACUGGUCCCAUUGUCCCUGGAGAAACCCUGACUAAAGGUGCACCAGGGGUGGCACCGGAAGAAGUGAGCAAUAAAAGUGAGCCUGCAGUUGUACCUGAAAAAUCAGCAGUGGAACAUGAGAAGCUGGAAUCUAAAGUUGGGAGUCCACUUGGUUACGGAGGAGGAACUGGUGUAAACGGAGGUGGUGCCCCCAAUGGCUAUGGCGCGAAACCCAAUGGUUACGGUGUCGGAGCCAGUGCACCAAACGGACGUGGAGCAAACCCCAAUGGUAAAUCUACUCUGUCUUGUGUGCUUUUAAGCCUAAACAAAACGUUUGUCAUUUCAUGGUGGUAUCAGGUUUUCCAGUGCAAUUAG